rnacentral:rRNA from 1 species
CCUACGGGGGGCUGCAGUGAGGAAUAUUGGUCAAUGGACGAGAGUCUGAACCAGCCAAGUAGCGUGAAGGAUGACUGCCCUAUGGGUUGUAAACUUCUUUUAUAUGGGAAUAAAAUGUUCCACGUGUGGGAUUUUGUAUGUACCAUAUGAAUAAGGAUCGGCUAACUCCGUGCCAGCAGCCGCGGUAAUACGGAGGAUCCGAGCGUUAUCCGGAUUUAUUGGGUUUAAAGGGAGCGUAGGUGGAGUGUUAAGUCAGUUGUGAAAGUUUGCGGCUCAACCGUAACAUUGCAGUUGAAACUGGCAGUCUUGAGUACAGUAGAGGUGGGCGGAAUGCGUGGUGUAGCGGUGAAAUGCUUAGAUAUCACGAAGAACUCCGAGUGCGAAGGCAGUUCACUGGACUGCAACUGACACUGAGGCUCGAAAGUGUGGGUAUCAAACAGGAUUAGAUACCCUAGUAGUC